UGGGGAAUAUUGCACAAUGGGCGCAAGCCUGAUGCAGCCAUGCCGCGUGUAUGAAGAAGGCCUUCGGGUUGUAAAGUACUUUCAGCGGGGAGGAAGGGAGUACAGUUAAUACCUUUGCUCAUUGACGUUACCCGCAGAAGAAGCACCGGCUAACUCCGUGCCAGCAGCCGCGGUAAUACGGAGGGUGCAAGCGUUAAUCGGAAUUACUGGGCGUAAAGCGCACGCAGGCGGUUUGUUAAGUCAGAUGUGAAAUCCCCGGGCUCAACCUGGGAACUGCAUCUGAGACUGGGAAGCUUGAGUCUCGUAGAGGGGGGUAGAAUUCCAGGUGUAGCGGUGAAAUGCGUAGAGAUCUGGAGGAAUACCGGUGGCGAAGGCGGCCCCCUGGACGAAGACUGACGCUCAGGUGCGAAAGCGUGGGGAGCAAACAGG
rnacentral:rRNA from 1 species